rnacentral:rRNA from 1 species
GAUGAACGCUGGCGGCGUGCCUAAUACAUGCAAGUCGAGCGAACGGACGAGAAGCUUGCUUCUCUGAUGUUAGCGGCGGACGGGUGAGUAACACGUGGAUAACCUACCUAUAAGACUGGGAUAACUUCGGGAAACCGGAGCUAAUACCGGAUAAUAUUUUGAACCGCAUGGUUCAAAAGUGAAAGACGGUCUUGCUGUCACUUAUAGAUGGAUCCGCGCUGCAUUAGCUAGUUGGUAAGGUAACGGCUUACCAAAGCAACGAUGCAUAGCCGACCUGAGAGGGUGAUCGGCCACACUGGAACUGAGACAAGGUCCAGACUCCUACGGGAGGCAGCAGUAGGGAAUCUUCCGCAAUGGGCGAAAGCCUGACGGAGCAACGCCGCGUGAGUGAUGAAGGGCUUCGGAUCGUAAAACUCUGUUAUUAGGGAAGAACAUAUGUGUAAGUAACUGUGCACAUCUUGACGGUACCUAAUCAGAAAGCCAUGGCUAACUACGUG